rnacentral:rRNA from 1 species
UGGGGAAUAUUGGACAAUGGGCGCAAGCCUGAUCCAGCAAUGCCGCGUGAGUGAUGAAGGCCUUAGGGUUGUAAAGCUCUUUUACCCGGGAUGAUAAUGACAGUACCGGGAGAAUAAGCCCCGGCUAACUCCGUGCCAGCAGCCGCGGUAAUACGGAGGGGGCUAGCGUUGUUCGGAAUUACUGGGCGUAAAGCGCGCGUAGGCGGUUCUUCAAGUCAGAGGUGAAAGCCCGGUGCUCAACACCGGAAUUGCCUUUGAAACUAGGGAACUUGAAUCCAGGAGAGGUGAGUGGAAUUCCGAGUGUAGAGGUGAAAUUCGUAGAUAUUCGGAAGAACACCAGUGGCGAAGGCGGCUCACUGGACUGGUAUUGACGCUGAGGUGCGAAAGCGUGGGGAGCAAACAG